rnacentral:rRNA from 1 species
UACGUAGGGUGCAAGCGUUAAUCGGAAUUACUGGGCGUAAAGCGUGCGCAGGCGGUUUUGUAAGCCUGUCGUGAAAUCCCCGGGCUCAACCUGGGAAUUGCGAUGGAGACUGCAAGGCUAGAAUCUGGCAGAGGGGGGUAGAAUUCCACGUGUAGCAGUGAAAUGCGUAGAGAUGUGGAGGAACACCGAUGGCGAAGGCAGCCCCCUGGGUCAAGAUUGACGCUCAUGCACGAAAGCGUGGGGGAGCAAACAGG